rnacentral:rRNA from 1 species
UGGGAAUCUGCCCUUGGGUUCGGGAUAACAGUUGGAAACGACUGCUAAUACCGGAUGAUAUCUUCGGAUCAAAGAUUUAUCGCCCAGGGAUGAGCCCGCGUAGGAUUAGCUUGUUGGUGAGGUAAGAGCUCACCAAGGCGACGAUCCUUAGCUGGUCUGAGAGGAUGAUCAGCCACACUGGGACUGAGACACGGCCCAGACUCCGUACGGGAGGCAG